rnacentral:lncRNA from 1 species
GAGUUCUUUUGUUUAAGAAAAUAAGAAAUUUCAUGUCAUAUACACUUUAAUCAAGCGACGGUUUUUGUCAUAUUGCCGAGGGUAGAUUCGAUUACAAUGACUCUUUCUUUCUUAGGGAAAGAAGUCAAGCCCGUGCAAAGGAUUUAGGAGUCAUCGUAGACUCGCACUUGACGUACAACGAACGUAUUAGUAAUCCCGCUGUAUCGUGCGCCACAGAACUCCGUCAGAUCAAUAGGGUUAAAGAUAGUUUUGACAAGAAAACGCUUAGCCUCAUUAUCUCAUCUUUCGACACCAUCAAGCUGUUUUACUGUUCUUCAGUGUAGUCCAAUACAAUUGCGCCAAACAUUAAUAAACUUCAAGUUGUAUAACAACAUUAGCGAGCUUAAGAUCUACAACGCGAACUUACGACGCGGACGUCGCAUUAAACAAGUUUUAUUUUAAAACGAUGGCAAAUUCCAUUAAAAUAUUUGUAUCACAGUAAAUAAAAUGAAAUUAUACUGGAAAAAAUGUACAACAUAACAGAGGCUAGCAAUAUAUUAACAAGAUAAUUUUUAUCAUAAGUUUUUACGACUUCUAUGACGACGAGUCUUUGCAAAUAUCACGUCGUCUCGGAUAGUAGUUUUGGCGGGAAAAUGUGCAUUCGUAACAAUAGUCUAUAAAGCCUGGUUUCUAUCAUUUCAUAUGGCUGUUAACGUGUCAUCACAGUGUCACAAAGCUCAAAGAAAUAAACUCUGACAACUCUGACUAGGCUUACACGCGAAAACUAGGCUUCGGUAAGCACGUCCGCGUCACAAAUUCGCGUUGUAGAUCUUAAGCUCCCUAUUAUUAGCAUGACAAAAUUACUGCAUGGAUGCUGACUGGUUGCGAGGAGUACAAUUAUUUCAUUAAUUGUACUGCAGUAUACAAUUAAUGAUUUUCCCAAAACAAACAAAAUGGCGGAAAGGUAUUUUAACAAAAUACAAAUGUGAAAUGAAAUUGUCCUAGAGGAACUAGAUGAAAAUACGAACAAAAGCACCAAAUGUUGCUUUAACAAAAGAACUAAAUGAAAAUACGAACAAAAGCAUCAACUUUUGGUUGAUAGUCGGGCAGGACUGGACUUUGGCGAGAGAAUAUAAUGUUGACAUUGAGAAGUAUCCAAUUUUGUUAUGCUAAUAAUAAAAAAGUAAUCAUGCGAUGUUGCUCGUACAAUUAGGGAUUAAUAAUAGUACGAGUGAUGUUUGGAAUUUUGCCAAAUUGGACACGCCCCGGCGGCUCGUCCAAUUUUGGCAAAAUUUCCAAACAUCACUCGUACUAUUAAUCCCUAAUUGUACUCGCCAUCCUAUGAUUACCUAUACUAAACAGGCAGAAUCUCCCAGUCGAUUAAAAAAAUUGACGAGAAACUAGAUAGACGAUUUUAACAACAACAGUAUAAUGAGUAUAUAAUAUUUUACGUGCAUGUACAUUUUUUUCAUACGUAUUUUAUAGACUUUACAGGUAAACUACGCGAAGCGUUCCUCCCUUGACUUCCUAACUCAUUUGGAAUUUUCCUCAUUAGCUUUGCAAAUUUGAAAAACUCUUUGCAAAUUCCUUGAGGGAAUUUGAAAGGUUCCUAUCGGCUGUUGCAAUAUUCCAAUGCAAAAAAACUUCAUUUUAAAUUUUACUAACUUCCUGUUUUAAUUUCCUGACUUCGUGUUCUGUUCUGAGCGUUGUCAUUGGUGGAUUAUUUUUGUUAGCCAAUUGCAACGCGUAGAACAGAACAGGAAGUUAGGAACUUGUAACAGGAAGUUAAGAACUUCUAACAGGAACUGAGGAAAAUUUAAUCGGCUUUUAGCAACAUUGCAAAUUCCCUCAAGGGAUUUGCAAGGGAGUUUUUAACAUUUCAAAGGUAGUGAGAAAAAUUGGAAUCAAGUUAUGAACUCCAAAGAGGAACGCUUCACGUAGUUUACCUGUAAUACAUAACACAGAUAAUUAUAUUUCUUCUUUUAAAAUUGUAAUGGGCAUUGAAAAAGCCCAGUUGGGGAAUUGCAAAAUAAAGUAUGUGUGUAUUAAAAAACUGUAUUUGUGU